AUUGAACGCUGGCGGCAUGCUUUACACAUGCAAGUCGAACGGUAACAGGCCGCAAGGUGCUGACGAGUGGCGCACGGGUGAGUAAUGCAUCGGAACGUGCCCAGUCGUGGGGGAUAACUACUCGAAAGAGUAGCUAAUACCGCAUACGAUCUAUGGAUGAGAGCGGGGGACCGUAAGGCCUCGCGCGAUUGGAGCGGCCGAUGUCAGAUUAGGUAGUUGGUGGGGUAAAGGCUCACCAAGCCAACGAUCUGUAGCUGGUCUGAGAGGACAACCAGCCACACUGGGACUGAGACACGGCCCAGACUCCUACGGGAGGCAGCAGUGGGGAAUUUUGGACAAUGGGCGCAAGCCCGAUCCAGCAAUGCCGCGUGCAGGAAGAAGGCCUUCGGGUUGUAAACUGCUUUUGUACGGAACGAAACGGCUCUGGUUAAUACCCGGGGCUAAUGACGGUACCGUAAGAAUAAGCACCGGCUAACUACGUG
rnacentral:rRNA from 1 species